rnacentral:rRNA from 1 species
CCUACGGGUGGCAGCAGUGAGGAAUAUUGGUCAAUGGCCGCAGGGCUGAACCAGCCAAGUCGCGUGAGGGAUGACGGUCCUAUGGAUUGUAAACCUCUUUUGUCAGGGAGCAAAGGGCGCCACGUGUGGCGCUUUGCGAGUACCUGAAGAAAAAGCAUCGGCUAACUCCGUGCCAGCAGCCGCGGUAAUACGGAGGAUGCGAGCGUUAUCCGGAUUUCUUGGGGUUAAAGGGUGCGCAGGCGGACUGUCAAGUCAGCGGUAAAAUUUCGGGGCUCAACCCCGUCGUGCCGUUGAAACUGGCGUUCUUGAGUGAGCGAGACGUAUGCGGAAUGCGUGGUGUAGCGGUGACAUGCAUAGAUAUCACGCAGAACUCCGAUUGCGAAGGCAGCAUACCGGCGCUCACCUGACGCUCAUGCACGAACGCGUGGGUAUCGAACAGGAUUAGAUACCCCAGUAGUC